UACGUAGGGGGCAAGCGUUGUCCGGAAUCAUUGGGCGUAAAGAGCGCGUAGGCGGCCCGAUAAGUCCGCUGUGAAAGUCAAGGGCUCAACCCUUGAAUGCCGGUGGAUACUGUCGGGCUAGAGUCCGGAAGAGGCGAGUGGAAUCCUGGUGUAGCGGUGAAAUGCGCAGAUAUCAGGAAGAACACCGAUGGCGAAGGCAGCUCUCUGGGACGGUACUGACGCUGAGACGCGAAAGCGUGGGGAGCGAACAGG
rnacentral:rRNA from 1 species